AUUGAACGCUGGCGGAAUGCUUUACACAUGCAAGUCGAGCGGCAGCGCGGGGCAACCUGGCGGCGAGCGGCGAACGGGUGAGUAAUGCAUCGGAACAUGUCCAUGUCGUGGGGGAUAGCCCGGCGAAAGCCGGAUUAAUACCGCAUAAGCCCGAGAGGGGAAAGCAGGGGACCGCAAGGCCUUGCGCGAUUGGGUUGGCCGAUGUCCGAUUAGCUUGUUGGUGGGGUAAAGGCUUACCAAGGCGAUGAUCGGUAGCUGGUCUGAGAGGAUGAUCAGCCACACUGGGACUGAGACACGGCCCAGACUCCUACGGGAGGCAGCAGUGGGGAAUUUUGGACAAUGGGGGCAACCCUGAUCCAGCCAUUCCGCGUGAGUGAAGAAGGCCUUCGGGUUGUAAAGCCCUUUUGUCCGGAGCGAAACGAGUAGCCCUAAUACGGCUGCCUACUGACGGUACCGGAAGAAUAAGCACCGGCUAACUACGUGCCAGCAGCCGCGGUAAUACGUAGGGUGCGAGCGUUAAUCGGAAUUACUGGGCGUAAAGCGUGCGCAGGCGGUUAUGUAAGACAGAUGUGAAAUCCCCGGGCUUAACCUGGGAACUGCAUUUGUGACUGCA
rnacentral:rRNA from 1 species